rnacentral:lncRNA from 1 species
UUUUUAAGUUGAUGUAGUGAGAAGGAAAGUAGAACGAAGUGUCCUGUUCUGAUUUAGCCAACCAUAUGCAGAGUGACUGCCUGGAAUUUUUGCCACAGACAAGCUUUUUGUAUAAUGGAGAAGGAAGGGAAAUAGCAGGGACUGAGCAAAAGGAAGAAGAAAUCCAACCUCCGAUGGCACUUCUGUGAAUUUCUGCAAUCAUUUGAUACACUGUUAUAUUGGCGGGAAUCUCCAGGGAUAAACAGUGAUUUCCUAUACAUCUGCACCGAAGCCUGACACAGCACCAGGAUGACUCAGUGGGGUUACAAAUGGACAGACAACGUCAUCACAAAAAUACCAAGCACUUCAUCUCUUCAGAAGCACAAGAGAAGAUGCAAAGACUGCAUGAGAGUGAAACUCAGGAUGUGGUCCUCUCUGUAGAUAAACACAGAAGCCACAAGGUAAGGAAGUGGCAGAUGGGAGCAUCUCAGCACUUGGGCUACAGCUGGGACAGCAAGUGUGUCACAUCUCAGAAGAGAAACAUGGGCAGCUCUGCAGCAGAAUAAGGGCAGAGUGGAGGAGUUCUCUGUCUUCACCUGAACAUACCUGAAUAAAUCUCACUGUUGU